AAAGGGAAAAUAUAUUGUGUAUACCAUGAUUUAUUACUUAUAUUUGUCCAACCAAAAGAAAAUUUACACAGCAAAGUACAGAUCACAAAACGUCCGGCGUACAUACUAGAAGCCCAUAUUCAAGUCCACAAAACUCAGAACUCGGAUAUUGUGGGAAGUUUUAUUGUAUCUCCAUCUUAUUAUUCUGCAAGAGGUGGCCAGACCGGCACCUCAAACUUUGACAAGUAGCGGCCGCGGGCCGGGCUCAGUGCUGUCCGGGCAGCUUCUCCUUGAUCUUGUCCAUGAUGCCCUUCUUCUCGCCGGUGCCGUCAGUGCCAUGCGUCCCAGUACCGGUCAUUCCGGUUUGUCCCGGCUGCCCGUAGGUACCGCCUGUGGCCGUGGUGCCAUGCGCCCCGGUGCCGGCCAUGCCAGUACCCUGCUGUCCAUAGGUGCCAUCGGCGUGCUGCUGGUCACCGUGGCCACCAGGGAGCUUCUCCUUGAUCUUAUCCUUGAUGCCCUUCUUCCUCCUCCCGCCCAUGCCAUCAUCCU
rnacentral:lncRNA from 1 species